rnacentral:rRNA from 1 species
GCGAGUCACGUAGAAAUACGUGGCGAACGGCUCAGUAACACGUAGUCAACCUACUCUUAGAUGGAGGAUAAUCCCGCGAAAGUGGGGCUAAUACUCCAUAGUUGCCAGAUGCUGGAAUGCACUGGCAAUGAAAGCUCCGGCGUCUAAGAAUGGGACUGCGGCCUAUCAGGGUUGUAGUGAGUGUAAAGUACUCACUAGCCUAUAACGGGUAGGGGACAUGAGAGUGUGAGCCUCGAGAUGCCUUCUGAGACAUGAAGGCAGGUCCUACGGGACGCAGCAGGCGCGAAAACUUUACAAUGCCGGCAACGGCGAUAAGGGGACCUCGAGUGCCAGGUUACAAAUCUGGCUGUCGUGAUGCCUAAAAAGCAUUGCAUAGCAAGGGCCGGGCAAGCCUGGUGUCAGCCGCCGCGGUAAUACCAGCACCCCGAGUGGUCGGGACGAUUAUUGGGCCUAAAGCAUCCGUAGCCGGUUCUACAAGUCUUCCGUUAAAUCCAUCUGCUUAACAGAUGGGCUGCGGAGGAUACUAUGGAGCUAGGAGGCGGGAGAGGCAAGCGGUACUUAGUGGGUAGGGGUAAAAUCCGUUGAUCCACUGAAGACCACCAGUGGCGAAGGCGGCUUGCCAGAACGCGCUCGACGGUGAGGGAUGAAAGCUGGGGGAGCAAACCGGAUUAGAUACCCGGGUAGUCCCAGCUGUAAACGAUGCAGACUCGGUGAUGAAUAGGCUUCGUGCCUUUUCAGUGCCGAAGGGAAGCCGUUAAGUCUGCCGCCUGGGGAGUACGGUCGCAAGACUGAAACUUAAAGGAAUUGGCGG